UCAGUUUCUUGAUUUAGUUAU
rnacentral:siRNA from 1 species